UUGUGUCUGGGGCCAGCUGAGCUGAACGUGGGCUCCUUUGCGGCUUCUCCAUCGCUGGCCAGCAGGCUGGCCUUCUGUUUCUCCUCCGGAAACCUUGCACACUCCUUUGAUUCAUGGUGUUAAUGGAAAACCUGUAGCUGGUGGUCCGUACAUCUGCUGGAGAAACAUUUUUCACAGAACUCAUCUCAUCUGGGGACCAUGUGUCCAGGAGAGUUACCAGUUUUGGGCAAAGGGCACAUCCAGACCCACGUGCCAGCGUUACCCUCUGGGACAUCUGGUUACCAACUAAUGACAGGCAGCCAGAUGUGCACGUGGUUUCCACAGUGUGGUGAACCAACUUGGACAUGAUACCCUCAGAGGUCUGACUGCCUCACAGCACGUCAGGACCGUUGGCCCAGGACUCAGGAGGAGUCUGGUCGUCUGCCUGCCUAGAACCUAUUGCUUGACCUUGGAUAAGUCGCUUUCCCUGUCCAGGCAUUGUGUCCCUCCGCUCUAAGGGAGGGAGACAGAAUUCAGUCCACGAGGCCCAGGCACCCACUGAGCCUGCGCGUGGAACUAAGACCUUACGGUCCCG